rnacentral:rRNA from 1 species
UGAGUAACCUGCCCCUGACUCUGGGAUAACCCCGGGAAACCGGAGCUAAUACCGGAUACGACCCACACAGGCAUCUACGUGGGUGGAAAGAUUUAUCGGUCAGGGAUGGGCUCGCGGCCUAUCAGCUUGUUGGUGGGGUAACGGCCCACCAAGGCGACGACGGGUAGCCGGCCUGAGAGGGCGACCGGCCACACUGGGACUGAGACACGGCCCAGACUCCUACGGGAGGCAG